UCAGUGCAACAACUGUGCUACAAAUG
rnacentral:piRNA from 2 species